rnacentral:rRNA from 1 species
GAUUAACGCUAGCGGAAGGCAUAAUACAUGCAAGUCGAACGGGAUAGAACUUAGCAAUAGGUUCUUGAGAGUGGCGCACGGGUGCGUAACACGUAUGCAACCUGCCCUUAAUCGGGGGAUAGCCUCUCGAAAGAGAGAUUAAUACCCCAUAACAUAUUUGUUAGGCAUCUAAUGAAUAUUAAAACUCCGGUGAUUAAGGAUGGGCAUGCGGCUGAUUAGGUAGUUGGUGAGGUAAUGGCUCACCAAGCCAACGAUCAGUAGGGGGUCUGAGAGGAUGUCCCCCCACACGGGAACUGAGACACGGACCAGACUCCUACGGGAGGCAGCAGUAGGGAAUAUUGGACAAUGGAGGCAACUCUGAUCCAGCCAUUCCGCGUGCAGGAAUAAGGCCCUAUGGGUCGUAAACUGCUUUUGUAUGGGAAAAAAUCAUCUUACGUGUAAGGUGUUGAUGGUACCAUGAGAAUAAGGAUCGGCUAACUUCGUGCCAGCCGCCGCGGUAAGAC